rnacentral:rRNA from 1 species
UACGGAGGGGGCUAGCGUUGUUCGGAAUUACUGGGCGUAAAGCGCGCGUAGGCGGCUUUGUAAGUUAGAGGUGAAAGCCCGGGGCUCAACUCCGGAACUGCCUUUAAGACUGCAUCGCUUGAAUCCAGGAGAGGUGAGUGGAAUUCCGAGUGUAGAGGUGAAAUUCGUAGAUAUUCGGAAGAACACCAGUGGCGAAGGCGGCUCACUGGACUGGUAUUGACGCUGAGGUGCGAAAGCAUGGGGAGCGAACAGG